UCGAGAAUCUUCGGCAAUGGGCGCAAGCCUGACCGAGCGACGCUACGUGCGGGAUGAAGGCCCUUGGGUUGUAAACCGCUGUCAGAGGGGAUGAAAGCGCAAGCUUGACAGAGCCUCAGAGGAAGCGCGGGCUAAGUUCGUGCCAGCAGCCGCGGUAAUACGAACUGCGCAAACGUUAUUCGGAAUCACUGGGCUUACAGGGUGCGUAGGCGGCCGAACAGGUCCGGUGUGAAAUCCCUCAGCUCAACUGAGGAAUGGCAUUGGAAACCGUUUGGCUUGAGUGAGCUAGAGGUGCACGGAACUUCCGGUGGAGCGGUGAAAUGUGUUGAGAUCGGAAGGAACACCAGAGGCGAAAGCGGUGCACUGGAGCUUGUCUGACGCUGAGGCACGAAAGCCAGGGGAGCGAACG
rnacentral:rRNA from 1 species